CAUACCGAACACGGAAGUUAAGCUCUUCAGCGCCGAUGGUAGUUGGGGGUCUCCCCCUGUGAGAGUAGGACGCCGCCAAGC
rnacentral:rRNA from 1 species